rnacentral:rRNA from 1 species
UACGGAGGGUGCAAGCGUUAUCCGGAUUCACUGGGUUUAAAGGGUGCGUAGGCGGACAGGUAAGUCAGUGGUGAAAUCUCUGGGCUUAACCCAGAAACUGCCGUUGAUACUAUUUGUCUUGAAUAUCCUGGAGGUAGGCGGAAUAUGUCAUGUAGCGGUGAAAUGCUUAGAUAUGACAUAGAACACCAAUUGCGAAGGCAGCUCGUUACACGAAUAUUGACUCUGAGGCUCGAAAGCGUGGGGAUCAAACAGG